UACGUAGGGGGCAAGCGUUGUCCGGAAUCAUUGGGCGUAAAGAGCGUGUAGGCGGUCCGGUAAGUCGGCUGUGAAAGUCCAGGGCUCAACCCUGGGAUGCCGGUCGAUACUGCCGGACUAGAGUUCGGAAGAGGCGAGUGGAAUUCCCGGUGUAGCGGUGAAAUGCGUAGAGAUCGGGAGGAAUACCAGAGGCGAAGGCGGCGGACUGGACAGUCACUGACACUCAACUACGAAAGCGUGGGUAGCAAACAGG
rnacentral:rRNA from 1 species